UAAAUUAGCUAUGUGCUGCAGAGACAGCGCCAAGCUCUUGUAGCUCUCCUGGCCAGCGAAGGCACAUUAAUGUGCAACGCUUGGUAGGUUCGAUGCUCGAGCAAGGCAUGGAAGAGACAGAGAGAGAAGUUGAUCAUGAUCAUUUCACAUGUGAGAUAUUCUAAAAUAUCUUUUUC